CUGGCAUGCCUGGUGCAAGUUAGCACCCUGGCCAGUCCUCCUCUGUCCUGCUCCCACCUGCCAGGGGUCUGCUGGUCAUACUGGAGAGGAGGCCCUGGUCCCAGCAAGGGGCUAGGAUGCCCUGUGCUGUCUGGCACAGGAAGAGCACUAAGAGCUGGUGGGUUAAUGCCUGACUUCUGACACUACAUUGAAGCCGCACUGGGCCAGCUAGAGUCUCCCUUUGGAUAUUGAAGGAACAGUGUCCGUCUCUUCACAGGAACUUCAUAAAGUUUGUUAGUAGAACUCCCUGGACAACUGGAAGGAAAGAUAAAAUAGAUAUUGAAACACACAGAGAAAAUAAAAAUAUGCAGAGAGAAUAAAAACAUGUCUGUAGCAUGGCCAUGGACUGCAUUUUAUCUUGUACAGCUCAGAUGGGACAUCUUUCCACUGGAGAACAGAGAAUUCAUAUAGUCAGCGCCUGUAAGGUUUAGUGGUCCUUCAAAGUGCCUAUGGAACAUCCUCAUCCUUUCUAGAGGAAUGAACAGUGGAACAAGCUCUUUAUCAAAGCCCUGGAGUGA
rnacentral:lncRNA from 1 species